UAUGAAUCGAUAUUAUUACAUUCCAAUUCCUUCCCGAUACCUCCCAAGGAAAAUUCCGAAUUGGAUCCAAAAUUGACGGGUUAGUCCCAUCUACUCUGCUUU